UACGAAGGGGGCUAGCGUUGCUCGGAAUCACUGGGCGUAAAGGGUGCGUAGGCGGGUCUUUAAGUCGGGGGUGAAAUCCCGAGGCUCAACCUCGGAACUGCCUUCGAUACUGGAAGUCUUGAGUCCGGGAGAGGUGAGUGGAACUCCGAGUGUAGAGGUGAAAUUCGUAGAUAUUCGGAAGAACACCAGUGGCGAAGGCGGCUCACUGGCCCGGUACUGACGCUGAGAUACGAAAGCGUGGGGAGCAAACAGG
rnacentral:rRNA from 1 species